AAAAGGGCACCAGAUGCAGAGCAAGGGGUUGGGAUCUAACCCUGCAGAACAUCGGAUUCCUCAGAGAAAAGUGCUGUGGUCUCUACUGCUUCAGGACCAGACCCCCACGUGAACAAGAUACUGAGUGGGAAUUUUCCUUGGCCUGGGAAUUGAUGGCCAGGGCCAAAGCCAUAAACAAAGGAUUCUACAGAGAAAGGACCCAUGUGAUUACCUUGGAGCUACCUGGAUAAUCCGGGAUGAUCUCACCAUCUCAAGAUCCUUCACUGAACUACAUCUGCAAAGUCAAAGAGACGUACAUACCAUUGGUUAAGAAUCCGCCUGCCAAUGCAGGGGACAUGGAUUCAAGUCCUGGUCCGGGAAGAUUCUACAUGCUGGGGAGCAACUAAGCCCAUGUGCCACAACUGCUGAGCCUGUGUCCUAGAGCCUAUGAGCCACAACUACUGAGGCUGUGUGCCUCAACUACUGAAGCCCAUGCUCCUAGAGUCUGUGCUCCACAACAAGAGAAACGACUACAAUGAGAAGCCCGCACAUCACAACAAAGAGUAGCCCCCACCUGCCCCCCGCCACAAGAGAAAGCCUGUGCCCAGCAACGAAGGCACCAGUCCGCCCAAAAUAAAUCCAUAAAUAAAUAAAUAAGCAAGUAAAUUUAUAAAACUGAAAUAUCAAUCUUUUAA